rnacentral:sRNA from 1 species
UGCGCCUGCAAAGGAGGCAGCCUUACCCAUACUUAUAUGUUUUGCAGGCAACAGGGCAAGGUAUCCUCUCGUAAUCAGCAAUUUUGCUGAUUCAAAAUUAUUC